GCAGACAAUACGCCUCGCGGCUCGAGCUCUGUGGACGCCGCCGCCGUCACCACCCGCCGCCACUGCCACCACCGGACGCGAGGUGAGCCCUCCCGCCCCUGCUGUGACCCUCGCUCCCUGCCGGCCACCCCUCCGCCCAGCCCGAGCCCGGCAGAGAAGAAAUGUAUCAAGCAAGACCCCUCUCUAGGAACCUCUUUUUGUACACCUUCCUACAAAACCAUGGCCCAGGCUUCCUGGACGACCAAGACUCAGGGCUUCCUGGUGUGACCAGUAUCUUGGAGUUCCACCCCAUCUCCCCCUACAGUGACAGUCCACACUACCUGGCCAUGCAGCUGGCCUCCAUUGCUGAUGAGAUGGAGCUGAGGUUGCUGCUGCCCCAGUUCGUUGAGCCCUUCUGGAUGACCAUGUACAGCUUGUUUUUCCCCUACAGCCACGUAGGGCUCAGGGAUGUUCUGAGAAGCUUUAUGGCUGCUUUCACCAACCUUAGGGAGAACCGAAGGCUCUGGAGCUUCCUGACUCUCAGGGACCGGGUGUCGCCCAGCCUGUGGCCCGAGCUGGCGCUGUCCCUGCUGGUGGUGGCGAUGCUCAGCUGGGGGUGCCGCCCCCACUGACCGAACUGCUGGUCAGUGUGGGGGUGGGGCUGGCCCCUCCCUCUCGACCACCACCCUGGCGGUGGCCCUGUUUUGGUGGUGUUGUCUUUUAACUGUUUUCUGAUGAUGCUUUUUUUUUUUUUUUUUUAAUUUAAACUCUGAGUGCUGGGACACUGAGGUUCAUACUAUUUUUUUCCUUUUUUUUUUUUUUUGUAAGAGAAAUGAAUUUAUUAUACCUCUGGGGUCGUUACUGGUUAAUGACCUGCUCUCCCGGUGCCAGCCUGCUCUGCGGUGGCCUGUCCUGGGACGGAGCCUCCCUCUCACGGGUUGGUCGAACAGGGGGCGGCGGGGGGAGUGCUGGUCACACCCCCGUGUCUGGGAUGCCCGUGGCACAGAGAAUCUGCUGGAAUAGAUUUCUGUGGGGCGAGGAGAGCUCAAUAAAAUGUUGGUUUCCAGCC
rnacentral:lncRNA from 1 species